rnacentral:piRNA from 1 species
GAGCUCUUUACAUAUUCUAGAGUAAGCC